rnacentral:rRNA from 1 species
UACGUAGGGGGCGAGCGUUGUCCGGAUUUAUUGGGCGUAAAGAGCGUGUAGGCGGCCAGGUAGGUCUGCUGUGAAAACUCGAGGCUCAACCUCGAGACGUCGGCGGAAACCAUCUGGCUAGAGUCCGGAAGAGGAGAGUGGAAUUCCUGGUGUAGCGGUGAAAUGCGCAGAUAUCAGGAGGAACACCAAUGGCGAAGGCAGCACUCUGGGACGUGACUGACGCUGAGACGCGAAAGCGUGGGGAGCAAACAGG